rnacentral:rRNA from 1 species
ACGAACGCUGGCGGCGUGCCUAAUACAUGCAAGUCGAGCGAAGUUUUUCUGGUGCUUGCACUAGAAAAACUUAGCGGCGAACGGGUGAGUAACACGUAAAGAACCUGCCUCAUAGACUGGGACAACUAUUGGAAACGAUAGCUAAUACCGGAUAACAGCAUUAACUGCAUGGUUGAUGUUUAAAAGUUGGUUUUGCUAACACUAUGAGAUGGCUUUGCGGUGCAUUAGCUAGUUGGUGGGGUAAAGGCCUACCAAGGCGACGAUGCAUAGCCGACCUGAGAGGGUGAUCGGCCACACUGGGACUGAGACACGGCCCAGACUCCUACGGGAGGCAGCAGUAGGGAAUCUUCCGCAGUGGGCGAAAGCCUGACGGAGCAACGCCGCGUGAGUGAAGAAGGAUUUCGGUUCGUAAAGCUCUGUUGUUAGGGAAGAAUGAUUGUGUAGUAACUAUACACAGUAGAGACGGUACCUAACCAGAAAGCCACGGCUAACUACGU